CCAAGAAAGGUCAUCAGGAAUCAUAACAACAAACAUGCAUCUUUCUACUGAGAUUUCCACCUGCUGAUAUUGGAACAGGGACUGUUUACUCUUACUGGAAGUACAGCUGUGAAUAAUGGUGUUUUAUUUUCUAAACAUCCCUAUCAGCAAGGAAGUUAAAUUCUUUGCUUCUUGAUAAUGAGACACAGCUCCUGGCAAAUGAGGAGGAGAGAAUAAAAUCCUUAAUAACAGCCUCAGUGAAGCCUCUUUUCCCAUGAAGGUUCUUUAGAGCCCACAAGAAUACACAACUACCAAGACAUCAAACUGCCUGGAUUGUGGUGUGGAUUUCUUAUGAUGGCAGCUCAGCGACACUUGGCUCUUGCAAAGGGACAAUCUCUGAGAGGCAGCAUGGGCCUCCAAUCCCACCUUGGACUCCUUUCUGCAGC